rnacentral:rRNA from 1 species
AUUGAACGCUGGCGGCAGGCCUAACACAUGCAAGUCGAACGAGUGGCGGACGGGUGAGUAAUGUCUGGGAAACUGCCUGAUGGAUGGGGAUAACAACUGGAAACGGUAGCUAAUACCGCAUACCAUCAGAUGUGCCCAGAUGGGAUUAGCUAGUUGGUGGGGUAACGGCCUACCAAGGCGACGAUCCCUAGCUGGUCUGAGAGGAUGAACAGCCACACUGGAACUGAAACACGGUCCAGACUCCUACGUGAGGCAGCAGGGGGGAAUAUUGCACAAUGGGCGCAAGCCUGAUGCAGCCAUGCCGCGUGUAUGAAGAAGGCCUUCGGGUUGUAAAGUACUUGAAGCGGGGAGGCGUUACCCACAGAAGAAGCACCGGCUAACUCCGUGCCAGCAGCCGCGGUAAUAC